rnacentral:lncRNA from 1 species
CGGAUCCAGGAUUUUGAGUUCGUGGGUGCUUAACUUUUUUAAUUGGAGCAAAAGAAAGUUAGUGGUUGAUAAAUGGAGGAAAAAGUCUAUAUAGGGGCGUGAGUGAGAUUUGAUCUCUCGACCAUAUACUCAUUUAGGGCCCUUCAACAUCCAACAUAACCAAAGCACCCACCAAGCCUUAUGUUAUCUGGGUGCUUGCUAUUUUGUUAUAUCCGUUUUCUUAAGUUUUUU